rnacentral:rRNA from 1 species
GACGAACGCUGGCGGCGUGCUUAACACAUGCAAGUCGAACGGACAGACAGAGAGCUUGCUCUCUUGAAGUUAGUGGCGAACGGGUGAGUAACGCGUAAUCAACCUGCCCUUCAGAGGGGGAUAACAACGGGAAACCGUUGCUAAUACCGCGUACGAUUCAUAAACGGCAUCGUUUAUGAAUGAAAGGUGGCCUCUAUUUAUAAGCUAUCGCUGAAGGAGGGGAUUGCGUCUGAUUAGCUAGUUGGAGGGGUAACGGCCCACCAAGGCAAUGGUCAGUAGCCGGUCUGAGAGGAUGAACGGCCACAUUGGGACUGAGACACGGCCCAAACUCCUACGGGAGGCAGCAGUGGGGAAUCUUCCGCAAUGGACGAAAGUCUGACGGAGCAACGCCGCGUGAGUGAUGAAGGUCUUCGGAUUGUAAAGCUCUGUUAAUCGGGACGAAAGAGUUCUGUGUGAAUAAUGCAGGAAAGUGACG